UCCGAUCGAUGAUCAUUAACAUAUCAGAAUUAUCGAUUGAUGCUCAUUCUGAUCUUCACGACUACCGACAUAUAGUCGGCUUAUCUUCCUACGAUUACAUGAUAUCGAAAUAUGCGAAAUCUACAUAUCUAACCAUUAUAAAUGGUUAUCAACUAUAUGUCACGAUGAUUAGUGGACAUAAAUAGCCCAUUAACUCCAUGAUUAUGGCUCGAUAAUUUAGUACCAUAAAAAAUAGGACCACAUGCUCGACGGUUACAUUUGAAUCAUCUAUAAAAGGG
rnacentral:lncRNA from 1 species